rnacentral:lncRNA from 1 species
UUGGGAGUCAGAGAGUUCGGUUGGAAGCCCAGGUGGCUCCAGGUAAUUGGGAGUCAGAGAGUUCGGUUGGAAGCCCAGGUGGCUCCAGGUUAUUGGGAGUCAGAGAUUUCGGUUGGAAGCCCAGGUGGCUCCAGGUUAUUGGGAGUCAGAGAGUUCGGUUGGAAGCCCAGGUGGCUCCAGGUAAUUGGGAGUCAGAGAGUUCGGUUGGAAGCCCAGGUGGCUCCAGGUUAUUGGGAGUCAGAGAGUUCGGUUGGAAGCCCAGGUGGCUCCAGGUUAUUGGGAGUCAGAGAGUUCGGUUGGAAGCCCAGGUGGCUCCAGGUUGUUGGGAGUAAACGUUCAGGUUGGAAGCCCAGGUGGCUCCAGGUAAUUGGGAGUCAGAGAGUUCGGUUGGAAGCCCAGGUGGCUCCAGGUAAUUGGGAGUCAGAGAGUUCGGCUGGAAGCCCAGGUGGCUCCAGGUUGUUGGGAGUAAACGUUCAGCUGGAAGCCCAGGUGGCUCCAGGUAAUUGGGAGUCAGAGAGUUCGGUUGGAAGCCCAGGUGGCUCCAGGUUAUUGGGAGUCAGAGAGUUCGGUUGGAAGCCCAGGUGGCUCCAGGUUACAUGGUAGUUACUGCCAAUAGAGGAAGAAAAGGUGAUCCAUCCAUAUUUCCAGGAUGGGAAGGCACUUUGGUGACAAGACUUAGGCUACGUCUGAAAUUACACCCUAUCCCCUAAAAAUCAGGGAAUUAGGUGCCAUUUUGGACACACCCUGGACAGUAAUAUGUAUUGAACUGGUCUAUCAUCGUUGUGGCAGAUGAGUGUGUGUGUUUUCCAGUAGCCUUUUUAACUUCAUGGUCUUUGGGUUGUGCAUCCUGUCUAACAGAUCUUCUCUGGAAUGUUAAAAACUGAGGUUUUAUCCAAGGAGCUUGUGUUUCCCUGGCCACUGAAAGACAAGAACAAAAAAAAAAGUAUUUUAGUUACAUAUGCUUGUAUAUUGAGUAACAUAAGUACAUUUAUUCAAUAACCAGGUUAAUUAGAUUCCUUGAUCAUAGACGUUAAGCUUGUAUGCCC